rnacentral:tRNA from 1 species
AUAAUAUUAGUAUAAAGUAUAUUUAAUUUCCAAUUAAAAGGAGAGUUAAUAAUAUUAUU